rnacentral:rRNA from 1 species
GAUGAACGCUGGCGGCGUGCCUAAUACAUGCAAGUCGAGCGAACAGACGAGGAGCUUGCUCCUCUGACGUUAGCGGCGGACGGGUGAGUAACACGUGGAUAACCUACCUAUAAGACUGGGAUAACUUCGGGAAACCGGAGCUAAUACCGGAUAAUAUAUUGAACCGCAUGGGUCAAUAGUGAAAGACGGUUUUGCUGGCACUUAUAGAUGGAUCCGCGCCGCAUUAGCUAGUUGGUAAGGUAACGGCUUACCAAGGCAACGAUGCGUAGCCGACCUGAGGGGGUGAUCGCCCACCCUGGAACUGGGCCACCGUCCAGACUCCUACGGGAGGCAGCAGUAGGGAAUCUUCCGCAAUGGGCGAAAGCCUGACGGAGUAACGCCGCGUGAGUUAUGACGGUCUUCGGAUCGUAAAACUCUGUUAUUAGGGAAGAACAACUGUGUACGUAAAUAUGCACGUCUUGACGGUACCUAAUCAGAAAGCCCCGGCUAACUACGUG